rnacentral:rRNA from 1 species
GACGAACGCUGGCGGCGUGCUUAACACAUGCAAGUCGAACGGAAAGGCCCUGCUUUUGUGGGGUGCUCGAGUGGCGAACGGGUGAGUAACACGUGAGUAACCUGCCCUUGACUUUGGGAUAACUUCAGGAAACUGGGGCUAAUACCGGAUAGGAGCUCCUGCUGCAUGGUGGGGGUUGGAAAGUUUCGGCGGUUGGGGAUGGACUCGCGGCUUAUCAGCUUGUUGGUGGGGUAGUGGCUUACCAAGGCUUUGACGGGUAGCCGGCCUGAGAGGGUGACCGGCCACAUUGGGACUGAGAUACGGUCCAGACUCCUACGGGAGGCAGCAGUGGGGAAUAUUGCACAAUGGGCGGAAGCCUGAUGCGGCAACGCCGCGUGCGGGAUGACGGCCUUCGGGUUGUAAACCGCUUUCGCCUGUGACGAAGCGUGAGUGACGGUAAUGGGUAAAGAAGCACCGGCUAACUACGUG